rnacentral:rRNA from 1 species
UACGUAGGGGGCAAGCGUUGUCCGGAUUUAUUGGGCGUAAAGAGCGUGUAGGCGGCCAGGGAGGUCCGUUGUGAAAACUCGAGGCUCAACCUCGAGACGCCGAUGGAAACCCCCUGGCUAGAGUCCGGAAGAGGAGAGUGGAAUUCCUGGUGUAGCGGUGAAAUGCGCAGAUAUCGGGAGGAACACCAGUGGCGAAGGCGGCUUGCCAGAACGCGCUCGACGGUGAGGGAUGAAAGCUGGGGGAGCAAACCGG